UACGUAGGGUGCGAGCGUUGUCCGGAAUUAUUGGGCGUAAAGGGCUCGUAGGCGGUUUGUCGCGUCGGGAGUGAAAACAUCCAGCUUAACUGGGUGCUUGCUUUCGAUACGGGCAGACUUGAGGUAUGCAGGGGAGAAUGGAAUUCCUGGUGUAGCGGUGAAAAGCGCAGAUAUCAGGAGGAACACCGGUGGCGAAGGCGGUUCUCUGGGCAUUACCUGACGCUGAGGAGCGAAAGUGUGGGGAGCGAACAGG
rnacentral:rRNA from 1 species